GUAGGUGGCAAGCGUUGUCCGGAAUUAUUGGGCGUAAAGCGCGCGCAGGCGGUUCUUUAAGUCUGAUGUGAAAGCCCACGGCUCAACCGUGGAGGGUCAUUGGAAACUGGAGAACUUGAGUACAGAAGAGGAAAGCGGAAUUCCACGUGUAGCGGUGAAAUGCGUAGAGAUGUGGAGGAACACCAGUGGCGAAGGCGGCUUUCUGGUCUGUAACUGACGCUGAGGCGCGAAAGCGUGGGGAGCAAACAGGGAUUAGAUACCCUGGUAGUCCACGCCGUAAACGAUGAGUGCUAAGUGUUAGGGGGGUUUCCGCCCCCUUAGAGCUGCAGCUAACGCAUUAAGCACUCCGCCUGGGGAGUACGGCCGCAAGGCUG
rnacentral:rRNA from 1 species